CCCGCUGAACUUAAGCAUAUCAAUAAGCGGAGGAAAAGAGACUAACAAGGAUUCCCCUAGUAACUGCGAGUGAAGCGGGAAAAGCUCAAAUUUAAAAUCUGGCGGUCUUUGGCCGUCCGAGUUGUAAUUUAGAGAAGCGUCUUCCGCGCCGGUCCGUGCACAAGUCCCCUGGAAUGGAGCGUCAUAGAGGGUGAGAAUCCCGUCUUUGGCACGGACACCCGGUGCUUCUGUGAUGCGCUCUCAAAGAGUCGAGUUGUUUGGGAAUGCAGCUCAAAAUGGGUGGUGAACUCCAUCUAAAGCUAAAUAUUGGCGAGAGACCGAUAGCGAACAAGUACCGUGAGGGAAAGAUGAAAAGCACUUUGGAAAGAGAGUGAAACAGUACGUGAAAUUGUUGAAAGGGAAACGCUUGAAGUCAGUCGCGUCGACCGAGACUCAGCCUUGCCUUGGCUUGGUGUACUUCUCGGGCUGACGGGUCAGCAUCGAUUUUUCCCCUCGGAUAAUGGCAAGGGAAAGGUGGCACCUUUGCGGGUGUGUUAUAGUCUCCUGUCGCAUGUAAGGGGGGAGAUCGAGGAACUCAGCGCGCGCCUCUGGUGUCGGGGCUUUGGCCCACGUAACGCGCUUAGGAUGCUGGCGUAAUGGCUUUAAACGACCCGUCUUGAAACACGG
rnacentral:rRNA from 1 species